rnacentral:lncRNA from 1 species
AUGACCCUGCCGUGGCCCUCUCCUGGCCCUUCCUUGAUCCUGCCCUGCCCUUCCAUGCCCUGGCCUUGCCCUCACCCUGCAUUGGCCCUGCACUGGUCCUGCCCUGCCCUGGCACUGCCUUGGCCCUGGCCCUGCCUUCUUCCUGGCCUUGCCUUUGCCCUGCCCUGGCCUGACCCCAGGCCUACUGAGUCCAUGAAAUGGCCCUGGACCUGCCUUGCCAUCCUCUGUCCUGGCCCUAUAUUGUCCCCACCAUGCUCUGGUCCAGCGCUUGCCCUAGCCCUGUUGCUAGUCCUGCCACUGCUAUGGCCCUGCUCUGUUUUUGGCCGUGCCCUGUGCUACCCUAGCCCUGCCCUGCCUUGGCCUUGGCCCUACCAUGGCCUUCUCCUACCCUGGCCUGGCCCUACCCUGGCCUUUUCUACCCUGGCCUUGCCCUUCCCUGGUGUUGCCCUGCCCUGGCCUUGCCCUGCCCUGGCCUUGGCUUUGCCUUAUCCUGGUCCUGGUUCUGCCCUGACCCUGGCCUUGCUCUGGAUCCUCUCUGGUU